AUUGAACGCUGGCGGCAGGCCUAACACAUGCAAGUCGAACGAGGGGCGGACGGGUGAGUAAUGUCUGGGAAACUGCCUGAUGGAGGGGGAUAACUACUGGAAACGGUAGCUAAUACCGCAUACCAUCGGAUGUGCCCAGAUGGGAUUACAUAGUAGGUGGGGUAACGGCUUACCUAGGCCACGCUCCCACGCUGGUCUGAGAGGAUGACCAGCCACACUGGAACUGAGACACAGUCCAGACUCCUACGGUAGGCAGCAGUGGGGAAUAUUGCACAAUGGGCGCAAGCCUGAUGCAGCCAUGCCGCGUGUAUGAAGAAGGCCUUCGGGUUGUAAAGUACUUUCAGCGGGGAGGCGUUACCCGCAGAAGAAGCACCGGCUAACUCCGUGCCAGCAGCCGCGGUAAUAC
rnacentral:rRNA from 1 species